GGUAUUUUUUUCUUUUAUUCAAACUUUACAAUUUUUUUUUUGGGUCCUGAAUCUACUAAUUAGUAUUAGUUAAGAAGAAAAGCUGCUUUUCUUUUCCUGUCGCCCCAACCAAUCAAUUUUAAAUCCUUUUAAGUCUAUUAAUCCUCCCUUAAAAACUAUUUUGCAUUGUAAAAAUCUACAGGGUCUUCUCGUCUAAUAAAUUCAUCUUUGCUUUUUAACAAAAAAAUCAAGUUCAACUUUUUGUUGGAGACAGUCAAGACCUCAUGGGAUCAUUCAUUCCAGUCAUCAAUUAAAAAACUAUUGAUUAUGCUACCUUCGCACGGUCAAAUUACCGCGGCUCUUUUACUUAAAUGUCAGGGAGCAGACCUUACCGUUUAAAUCAGUACAAAAGGAA
rnacentral:rRNA from 1 species